rnacentral:rRNA from 1 species
UACAGAGGUCCCAAGCGUUGUUCGGAUUCAUUGGGCGUAAAGGGUGCGUAGGCGGCGCGGUAAGUCGGGUGUGAAAUCUCGGAGCUUAACUCCGAAACUGCAUUCGAUACUGCCGUGCUUGAGGACUGGAGAGGAGACUGGAAUUUACGGUGUAGCGGUGAAAUGCGUAGAUAUCAGGAGGAACACCUGUGGCGAAAGCGGCUCACUGGACCACAACUGACGCUGAUGCACGAAAGCUAGGGGAGCAAACAGG